rnacentral:piRNA from 1 species
UGGACCACCGUUUCCUUGCCCUGCCAUGGU